AUACGGAGGGUCCAAGCGUUAUCCGGAAUCAUUGGGUUUAAAGGGUCCGCAGGCGGUCAAUUAAGUCAGAGGUGAAAGCCCAUCGCUCAACGAUGGAACUGCCUUUGAUACUGGUUGACUUGAGUUAUACGGAAGUAGAUAGAAUAAGUAGUGUAGCGGUGAAGUGCAUAUAUAUUACUUAGAAUACCGAUUGCGAAGGCAGUCUACUACGUAUAUACUGACGCUGAGGGACGAAAGCGUGGGGAGCGAACAGGAUUAGAAACCCUAGUAGUCC
rnacentral:rRNA from 1 species